rnacentral:lncRNA from 1 species
GUUGCAAUGAUCUGGGUAGUUUAAGCAGGCCAAAUUCGCUAAUCCAAAACAUAAAAUGCUUAAAAUCAAUGAGAAUAAAGUCAAGUCUUUGAUUUUAUCACCCAAACAAAUGAUGAUGGUCGUAAUAUCGCACGGUUUGGGAAGCCAGAAGAUCUACAAAAAGGUCGGGAAGUUAGGCUAAGAGCUCAAUGCCAACGGGGUGGAAUUUGAUGAGCAGUCUUCACCGAUUUCGGUACAUCUCCGCAGGACGCUAAAGGUACGGCCUACAGCAGCCGAGAAACGAGCAGACAGCCAUCUCAGUCUGUCGACGAUGUCCCAAGGUCUCACCCAAGAACUACCCAGUUGAAAUAUUCUCCAAUGGUAGUUGCAGAAUCCAGAGUCCCCUUUUUUUGGCGUUCUGCUUCGUUUGAACACCUUCACCAUUCUAGAGAAAUGCUGGAACUCGUAUGCCAGAAUUCUGGGCUAUGUCAGUACCACCAUGAGUAAACUGCUCCAAUCAGCUGUCCGCACCCAUAAAAGAUUCUCAACAACCUUGUCCAA